GAGGAUAUAGUUCAAUUGGUAGAGUGCGUGCUUAGCAUGCAUGAGGUCCUGGGUUCAAUCCCCAGUACCUCCA
rnacentral:tRNA from 1 species